rnacentral:tRNA from 1 species
GGCGACGUUCCCGAUUGGUCAGGGCUCGGUCUGCAAAGCCGCUGGAAGCGGGUUCAAUUCCCGUCGUCGCCUCCA